rnacentral:rRNA from 1 species
UACGGAGGGCGCAAGCGUUGUUCGGAAUCACUGGGCGUAAAGCGCGUGUAGGCGGUUCAGCAAGUCGGCUGUGAAAGCCCGAGGCUCAACCUCGGAACUGCAGCCGAAACUGCCGGGCUCGAGUCCCGGAGAGGGUGGCGGAAUUUCCGGUGUAGAGGUGAAAUUCGUAGAUAUCGGAAGGAACACCAGAGGCGAAGGCGGCCACCUGGACGGUGACUGACGCUGAGACGCGAAAGCGUGGGGAGCAAACAGG